UUAAUCCAUUCAUAGAUUAAUGGAUUAAUGAAUUAAAGGGUUGUUUUGGGAGUGGCUGGCUUUAUGACAGGAAGAGAGGCCUGUGCCUGCCCAGUGAGCUCUCUCCCCACAAGAUGCCCUGUGCUGUCAUGAGACUCUGCAGUGUCCCUACCAGCAGGAAGGCUCUCCCCAAAUGCAGCCCCUUGACCCUGGACUUCCCAGCCUCCAGAACUUGAGAAGAGGAACAAAUGGAGGAACAUCCCAGUCAAGUGACAUUCCUAGUGACAUUCACCAGAACAGAGUCAAGCUUUGGAUCCCAUGUUCUGUGACUUCCUCUUCACCACGCUUCCUCCACACACGUAGCAGCUCAAGGGUUUCUGAUGAGUGGGGUCUAUGUUCCCUUUAUGAGCUGUAACGCACACCAUGAAGGUCUGCGGCUUGGCUAUUGAGUCAGUGAGAGCGUGAACCUACUAUUAGAAGAAAAACUCUGAAUACGUCUGAACGUCAGAAAGAACGAAGUUUGGACACAUUGUCUUUAAGAACUGUAACACUCACCCCAAGGGUUUAUGGAUUCAUUCUUGAAAUCAGUGAAACCAAAAGCUUUCCAAAGUUUAACACACAGGGAAAUGACUUACUGCAAAGAACCACUCUUCCCCACGAGACUUCGAGAAGACCCGCUGUCACGGACUGAGUUGUGUCCUCUUAAAAUUCAGAUGUUGGAGUCCAAACCCCCAGUAACUCAGAGUGUGAACGUAUUUGAAGAGGUCUUUAAAGAGGUGAUGAAGGUCUUUGUCUCUGACAAUUUGCCUCUGUGACGUGGAUGGGACUGGAAGUCCAUUUGGAGCCCUGUCUUCUCCACCUAGGGAGAGAGACCCCAUGAGCUCGUCAAGCUCCUUCUGUGACUGAUCAGAGAUCCCACCGUGAGUCCAGCUCCUGGUCCCAUGCUCUGGAUAUAUCGGUCCCUGGCAGCGUGGCUCCAUCUCCGUAGCCUGCUUUUGACAAAAGUGGAUACAUAAAUCUAGGGGCCACCUAGCUAGUUCUAAUAAGACUUUGGAAGUCAAAAGCUAAAGAAGACCAGGGGACCAAGCUGGAAAUCAGGCUCUGCAAUCAGAUUCCAGAGGGAAUGCCAUUCCACCCAAUCACCUAGCCACAACGGUUCCCUUCCUUCAAGAUGCUGCAUGCCUCUUCAGGCGAAUGGAUUACCUUGUAAGAGUGACCUGAAAAAGCGUUAGCCCAGCCACACCGAGGCUUAACUGAGCCAUUUGAUUCUCACUGCCUCUCUCUGUUGCUUCCUCUUGCUUUCAACUACAGGGUCUUUCUGUUUAGGUGGUGAAAAAAAUGAUCGUUAAAAACAAUAAACCUGGGGACCUCUGAUACCAUGA
rnacentral:lncRNA from 1 species